UUUAACGGCCGCGGUAUUCUGACCGUGCAAAGGUAGCGCAAUCAAUUGUCUUUUAAAUGAAGACCUGUAUGAAUGGCAUAACGAGGGCUUAACUGUCUCCUCCUUCCAGUCAAUGAAAUUGAUCUUCCCGUGCAGAAGCGGGAAUAAUAACAUAAGAUGAGAAGACCCUAUGGAGCUUAAAACGCAAGAAUAGAUCACAUCACUUACCCUGGGUUAACAGGACAAGACAACUGAGUACUAUUCUAGUGUUUUUGGUUGGGGCGACCGCGGGGUAAAAUAAAACCCCCACGUAGAACGAAAAUACAUUUUUUUAAUUUAAGGGAAACGACCCUAAAAAACAGAAUCUCUGACUUUUUGAUCCGGUUUUACCGAUCAACGAACCGAGUUACCCUAGGGAUAACAGCGCAAUCCUCUUUUAGAGCCCAUAUCGACAAGGGGGUUUACGACCUCGAUGUUGGACCAGGACAUCCUAAU
rnacentral:rRNA from 1 species